UACGUAGGGGGCAAGCGUUGUCCGGAUUUAUUGGGCGUAAAGAGCGUGUAGGCGGCCAUGUAGGUCCGUUGUGAAAACUCGAGGCUCAACCUCGAGACGCCGAUGGAAACCAUGUGGCUAGAGUCCGGAAGAGGAGAGUGGAAUUCCUGGUGUAGCGGUGAAAUGCGCAGAUAUCAGGAAGAACACCCGUGGCUAAGGCGGCUCACUGGUCCGGUACUGACGCUGAGGUGCGAAAGCGUGGGGAGCAAACAGG
rnacentral:rRNA from 1 species